AUUGAACGCUGGCGGCAGGCCUAACACAUGCAAGUCGAGCGAGCGGCGGACGGGAGAGUAAUGUCUGGGACACUGCCUGAUGGAGGGGGAUAACUACUGGAAACGGUAGCUAAUACCGCAUAACCUCAGCAGUGCCCAUAUGGGAUUAGCUAGUAGGUGGGGUAAUGGCUCACCUAGGCGACGAUCCCUAGCUGGUCUGAGAGGAUGACCAGCCACACUGGAACUUGGACACGGUCCAGACUCCUACGGGAGGCAGCAGUGGGGAAUAUUGCACAAUGGGCGCAAGCCUGAUGCAGCCAUGCCGCGUGUAUGAAGAAGGCCUUCGGGUUGUAAAGUACUUUCAGCGAGGAGGCGUUACUCGCAGAAGAAGCACCGGCUAACUCCGUGCCAGCCGCCGCGGUAAUUC
rnacentral:rRNA from 1 species